rnacentral:rRNA from 1 species
CCUACGGGGUGCAGCAGUGGGGAAUAUUGCACAAUGGGGGAAACCCUGAUGCAGCGACGCCGCGUGAGUGAAGAAGUAUCUCGGUACGUAAAGCUCUAUCAGCCGGGGAGAAAAUGCCGGUACCUGACUACGAAGCACCGGCUAACUACGUGCCAGCAGCCGCGGUAAUACGUAGGGGGCAAGUGUUAUCCGGAUUUACUGGGUGUUAAGGGAGCGUAGGCGGGGGAACAAGUCUGGAGUGAAAUCCCGGGGCUUAACCCCGGAACUGCUGUGGAAACUGUGCGUCUGGAGUGGAGGAGGGGUAAGCGGAAUUCGUAGUGUAGCGGUGAAAUGCGUAGAUAUCAGGAGGAACACCGGUGGCGAAGGCGGCUUACUGGACUGUAACUGACGUUGAGGCUCGAAAGCGUGGGGAGCAAACAGGAUUAGAUACCCGGGUAGUC